rnacentral:rRNA from 1 species
AUGGGCCAAGAACAGAGCCAGCCCGACCCGGCGGUGGGGGAGCCUUCUCCGCCGGCCGCCGACCCCGCGCCGGCGCAGUCUCCUGCCCCAGCGCCCUCCUCCCUCGAGGAGCUCGCCGCAGAAGCUAUGUCGUUUAGUGAGGAUGAUGAGUCAAUUGACGUUAAGGUGCAGAAAGCUCUGGAUUGUCCGUGCGUGGCUGAUUUGAAAACUGGACCUUGUGGCAAUGGAUUUAUUGAUGCAUUUUCCUGCUUCCUGAGGAGCACAGAAGUAGAGAAGGGAUCAGACUGCGUGCAGCCCUUCAUCGCGCUGCAGAACUGCAUCAAAGAGAAUCCAGCGGCAUUCUCUAAGGAGAUUUUGGAAGAGGAGGAGAAGGACGAGGAGGCUGAGAAGUCCAACCUGAAAGUUAGAGCUCCGGCAUGGUCUAGAGAAUCCAAACCAAAGCUUUGA